UGGUUUCUGAGAAAACGGGGCAUUACUUUUUGGUUUUUUGAAUAUUUUUGUUUCCUGAAACUAAACAUGGAUUUAAGCAGUGUCAGUGGCAGCUUUUUUUUGAGCUUUCAUGGUAUAGGCUUUAUUUUUUACAUUUUUAUUUUUAAUUAAUGUUAAUAUUAUUAUUUUGGAUAAAAGAUCACGUGGAUUCAAAAUUUAUUCCAUUUUUGUUCCUAAAAUUACUAAUACUUCAAAAGUUUCUGCGCUUAUAACACAAAUUUCAACCAGCCUUUUGUCCUUCAAUAUGACUUUCUUUGUGUGAAUAUUGCUCUUUGCUCUGUUUUGUUACUGGAAAAAUGUGGAUUGGAGAUUCUAACAGACUACAGAUGCCUGAAUCUGAAAUUUUCCCACUGAGAUCAAUCUAAGCUAUUCAUGUUGGUUGAUUCCAAUUUGUUUUCACCGAUAAUUUCCUCCUUUUACAGGAAUUUAUUUCAUAAAAUUGCUUAUUUGCCAUGUAUGCAUUGCUUGUUCGUUUAGGUCUUUUAAACCUUAAAUCAACUACUUCCUUCUUUAUUUAUGAAUUUUUUUUAAUACUUGAAACAUCAUCUUUAGCUUGUAGCUGAGUGACUUAUGUUGAGGGAAUUUAUGGCUUCAUGAUGAUUGAUAUUUUGGGUUUUUAUG
rnacentral:misc_RNA from 1 species